rnacentral:rRNA from 1 species
GGGUUAGUAGGUUGGUCAUGCCUCUGGUAUGUACUGGUCUCACUGAUUCCUCCUUCCUGAUGAACCGUAAUGCCAUUAAUUUGGUGUUGCGGGGAAUUUGGACUGUUACUUUGAAAAAAUUAGAGUGUUUAAAGCAGGCUAACGUCUGAAUACAUUAGCAUGGAAUAAUGAAAUAGGACGGUUGGUUCUAUUUUGUUGGUUUCUAGGAUCACCGUA